AGUGAACGCUGGCGGCAGGCCUAACACAUGCAAGUCGAGCGGAAGAACAGUGCUUGCUCGUUCUUUCGGGUGGGGAGGGGCGGGCGGGGGCGGGGUACCUCCGUAGUAGCUUUUGCGUAGGGGCGAACACGGGGGCAAAUACGGCAUUCCUGCAGACGACGUACGGGGGGGAGCAGCGGACCUUCGGCCCUUGGGCGAUCCUAGGACGCGUGGUCGGAUUAGCUAGUUGGAGGGGUAAAGGCCUACCAAGGCGACGAUCCGUAGCUGGUCUGAGAGGAUGAUCAGCCACACUGGAACUGAGACACGGUCCAGACUCCUACGGGAGGCAGCAGUGGGGAAUAUUGGACAAUGGGCGCAAGCCUGAUCCAGCCAUGCCGCGUGUGUGAAGAAGGUCUUCGGAUUGUAAAGCACUUUUGGUUGGGAGGAAGGGCAGUAAGUUAAUACCUCGCUGUUUUGACGUUACCAAAAGAAUAAGCACCGGCUAACUUCGUG
rnacentral:rRNA from 1 species